GGAGGGAGGAGAGAUCUCCAAGCUGGCCGAAGUCCCUGUUGCCAAGAGGAGAGGCGUCAAGAGACCACAGCCGAAACUGGACUCUCAGAGGCUGACAUCAGAAAGAGGACUUCCGGCUCUUCGCAACCUGUUUGACAACGUUCAUUUCAAAGGCAAAGGACACGAGGCUGAGGACUUGCGGGUGCUGAUGCAGAGGAUGGAGAACUGGGCUCACAG